UUAAUGGUGUAUUGGCCAUGGGAG
rnacentral:piRNA from 1 species